GUUGGUGGUAAUCAUCUCCUUGUGCCACUUCUUUAAAAAGGUACGUGACCAACUAUGUUGAAGUCUGUGGUGGAGAGGCCAUCUAGUCCUCUAUAUCGAAUGGAAUUAAUGAAUAAUUCCUUGUGUGGUGUCAACAAGCCUCAUAGAUAUAGCUCAACCUUUUGCAUCUCAGACACCUUCACUUUAGCCUUCUGCAUCUCAUGCUUCUGAGGCCAAAGGUUGUGGCUCAACUGAUCCAACUCCAUCAGGCACAUGUGUACUUCUAAGACCAAGUUUGUGGCUUAACUGAUCCAACUGAUCCAACUCCAUCAACAACAUGAGUAAGACACGAUGGACUGGGGCACGAGAGGAUUGCACAACAUGCAUCAGUGCAACGGGAGAAGAGUCAGGUUUCGGAGGCUCUUGUUCACUCUAGACAUAUGAAGGCAUCUACUUUGGGACUCAUGUUUCUCACGUUUCUUCAUAUUCUUUUUCCCGUAGGAGACAUGUUUUACCUACCGAUGCAUCACUCCCUCCAUCCUUCUGCAGACGUCAGGUUUCACCUAUUCAUGCGCUAGAGAUAUCCGAGUCACAAUGUGGUAUCGGAGGCACUAGUGCCACCUCCGACAUAUGAUGCUUUUGAGCCAGUGGCACCUCUUGAUGGUGAGAUUGUUGCAGAUGAUGAGCCAGAGGUACCUCAGACAUUUAGAGAAGGCCCUGUAAAGUUGUUAUUAUUGCCUCUGUACUCAGACCAUACUGUCAGACAUAUCUGGGACGGAGAGGACCGUUAUCCGCUGAAGUUUAUUAACCACAGGCAGAAGAUUACUGACUUGCCUCAACCGAAUGAGGAUUGGUUUAAGGCAGCUUUGUCCCUAUCUGGGAUGAAAGACUUGUGCAUGAUCAAUUAUACUACAGUCAACCACUGGAUACUUAAUGCAUUCGUGGAGAAAUGGCACACCGAGACCUUGUCAUUUCAUCUCCCACUUAGUGAGAUGUCUAUCACACUCGACGAUGUGUCGUAUUUGCUGCAUCUUUCGAUCAGGGGAAACUUCUAGAUCACGUGAGGAUUAACAAAGAAGAGAAGCUGGAGUUGAUGGUAGACUAUUUGGGAGUUGACACAGAGGUUUCGUUGACAGAGAUAGAGAGAACCAGAGGGGCUCAUGUUAGGUUUGAACUUCUGGAAAAUGUAUAUACAGAUGAACUCUAGAGGGUAGGGAAUGCUAGAGGUGAUGGCGAGCAAUCAUAUUAUUGUCCUGAUGAGAUAAAUCGACUUUUCUUCUUAGACCUCAGAUUUGCUUAAUUCACGUGACAUCUUGGUUUCUUUUGAUCA